rnacentral:lncRNA from 1 species
UAGGACAGCUUUAAUGUGACAGAGGAUCAUGGUGGUCGAUGGAUUGUGCACCCGGUAGUAGACUAGGAAAGGAACAUUAUUUACGGAACACAAUGAUAUUCAGAGCAGCCCUGCACUAUGUGAGAUUUAGAAGGUAUUCAAAUUAGUGUUUGUUGAUAACUGCAAAUUCCGUGUGUCCGAGUUUCAUAUUUUUCUUUAUAUCCCUGUCAACGUACUAAUCCGUUGUUCUUUGAUGUGCAGUUGGUACUGCCGGCGGAUGCAUCCAUGUGCUAAUCUCCUGGCACCGCGUAGACGGAGCCAAACGAGUUGGGGCCUCCAGCCGGCUGGUAG